rnacentral:rRNA from 1 species
AUUGAACGCUGGCGGCAGGCCUAACACAUGCAAGUCGAGCGAGCGUCGGACGGGUGAGAAAGGUAUGGGGGACUGCCCGUUAGAGGGGGGUAACACUUGGAAACGGUGGCUAUAACCGCACACUCUCGGAUGAGCCAUAUGGGAUUAGCUAGUAGGGAAGGUAAUGGCUUACCUAGGCGACGCUCCCUAGCUGGGCUGUGAGGAUGAUCAGCCACACUGGGACUGAGACACGGCCCAGACUCCUACGGGAGGCAGCAGUGGGGAAUAUUGCACAAUGGGCGCAAGCCUGAUGCAGCCAUGCCGCGUGUAUGAAGAAGGCCCUAGGGUUGUAAAGUACUUUCAGUCGGGAGGCGUUACCGACAGAAGAAGCACCGGCUAACUCCGUGCCAGCAGCCGCGGUAAUAC